rnacentral:rRNA from 1 species
CCCUUAGAUGUUCGGGGCCGCACGCGCGCUACACUGAAGGACUCAGCGUGUCUCUCCCCCUAUCCCGAAAGGGAUGGGCAACCCGUUGAACCUCCUUCGUGCUGGGGAUUGGGGUUUGCAAUUAUCUCCCAUGAACGAGGAAUUCCCAGUAAGCGCGAGUCAUCAGCUCGCGUUGAUUACGUCCCUGCCCUUUGUACACACCGCCCGUCGCUACUACCGAUUGGAUGGUUUAGUGAGACCCUCGGAUCGGUCCCGACUCGGGGUGGGCUUCUGCCCCGGUCGUGGUUUCGCCGAGAAGACGGUCAAACUUGACUAUCUAGAGGAAGUAAAAGUCGUAACA